GCCCAAGUGGCGGAAUUGGCAGACGCGCUAGAUUCAGGUUCUAGUAUCUGUAAUGGAUGUGGAGGUUCGAAUCCUCUCUUGGGCA
rnacentral:tRNA from 4 species